rnacentral:tRNA from 1 species
UUAAUUGAAGCCAAAAAGAGGCAUAUCCCUGUUAAUGAUAAAAUUGAGAUUAAUCUCCAAUUAAG